rnacentral:rRNA from 1 species
GAUGAGCGCUGGCGGCGUGCCUAAUACAUGCAAGUCGAGCGAACAGACGAGGAGCUUGCUCCUCUGACGUUAGCGGCGGACGGGCGAGUAACACGUGGAUAACCUACCUAUAAGACUGGGAUAACUUCGGGAAACCGGAGCUAAUACCGGAUAAUAUAUUGAACCGCAUGGUUCAAUAGUGAAAGACGGUUUUGCUGUCACUUAUAGAUGGAUCCGCGCCGCAUUAGCUAGUUGGUAAGGUAACGGCUUACCAAGGCAACGAUGCGUAGCCGACCUGAGAGGGUGAUCGGCCACACUGAAACUGAGACACGGUCCAGACUCCUACGGGAGGCAGCAGUAGGGAAUCUUCCGCAAUGGGCGAAAGCCUGACGGAGCAACGCCGCGUGAGUGAUGAAGGUCUUCGGAUCGUAAAACUCUGUUAUUAGGGAAGAACAAAUGUGUAAGUAACUAUGCACGUCUUGACGGUACCUAAUCAGAAAACCACGGCUAACUACGU